CCAGAUACAUAAUUGAAUAAUUUCUAGUUUUAUUGUGGAAGCUGUCAAGAUGAAGUCUGUGUUAAUUCUCUUUCUUGCAGUACUUUAUUUAUAUCUGACGCUAGGGUCGGAUGCUGACGUCACAAAAACAGAAAAGAAAGCUGUAAAGACUGAAAAUGAAGUGAAUGACGUAUUUAGAAGUGAGAACUUAGCCAAAGGUUUCAUCAAAGAUAAACGGGCACCUGCUCCUGGCGGCUUCUUGUUCAGACCUAGAUAUCAUCGUACCCAUCGUUACCAUCAUGGCUACCAUAGGAACCGUUACUUCAAACAUAAAUCACGGGAAGAGUAUGAAGAGAUGGAGGAGGGCAGGUUUUUCGGAAAAUAAAAUGGAGAUAAACAUUGUUUAACAUUUAUUGUAUUUGGGGAAAUAUCAGAAAAUAAAAGUACCCAACCACUCUG